GUGCUUUCUUUGGCAGCACAUAUACUAAAAUUGGAACAAUACAGAGGUUAGCAUGGCCUCUGCACAAAGAUGAUAUGUGAAUUUAUGAAGCAUUAACAAAGUAU
ensembl:snRNA U6 U6 spliceosomal RNA